UGUAUUUAACUUGAAUGUUUCUUUGUUGACAGAGCUUUUGAGAAAAGGCAAAGAGAAAGACAGAUUGAUAUUGCUGACCAUAUAUUGAAAGAGGAAAAACAGAUGAAAAAACGAUAUCAACAGCAGCCGCAAUUGUGGCCUGAUAAACAAAGAGAAAGAUCCAAGAGAGCCACAAGGAG